AAGUCGUAACAAGGUUUCCGUAGGUGAACCUGCGGAAGGAUCAUUACAGAGAACAUCGCCCUCACGGGUGACUCUCCAACCCUAUGUUAUAUCACCUUUGUUGCUUUGGCGAGCCCGCCUCGGCCACCGGCUCCGGCUGGUGAGUGCUCGCCAGAGGACCCUAAACUCUUGAAUUAAUUAUUGUCUGAGUAAUAUUAAAUUAUUAAAA
rnacentral:misc_RNA from 1 species